CUCCCGUACAAAGAUGGCGGUCUGAUAUGGCGGACUCGGUGGGCGAGUUUGACUACUUCUGUGAAUGUGGAGAUCAUUCAGAGGUGUGUGAGGUUGUCAGGUAGCUGCACUGAGGAAGCAGGAGACGCAGAGUUGGAAAAAGCUCUCUGCUUCGUUGACUCGACCACAAAGUGUCUAUGGCAGGAUGACUCGGAUCUCUGAAAAGGAACAGGGAGGCAGACGGUGGAGCCGUGCAUUUAAGCGGUCAGAUUGACGCACUCCACCUCCUUCUGUGUCGCUCAGGCUUCUGGAAGUUUGCCCAAGCCUGUCUCCAUAUUUGACAAACGUGCUUUUCUUGCGCAGCAACAGAUCGAGCCACAAUUAGAUCCAGAGACUUUUAGGAUGCACUCACUAGCCUUGGAUGUAGCUUUUGCCAGAAUGUGAGCCACAUUAAAGACGAAAACCAUGACCCUCUGCAACUUAUUAGAGACUGAGCUUUGAUUUCCUGAUCACACACUGCAUGGUUAUGCAUGACAUUGUGGAGGUGAGGAAAAUCCCUCAGAAAAGACACAUCCUUAAAUUGUCAGCUGCCCUCUGAGUCAUGACUCGGUGCUGUCUGGAAAUAAAACAACUACUCAGGGGAAAUAAGUGAGAUGAAAUACA